CCUUGUCAUAUGAUGCGUCACGCUGAAUCUCCUUGAGAACUACGUUAAGGGAACACGUGUCUGUGGACUGCUCAGUCACUUACCCGUUAAUUUCACGAGCAGGCUGUUCCGGUGUUUGGAUCAACUGGCACCCUUGUCAUCGUAAUCGAUAGAGUACCACGAUAUAUAAAUACAA